UACGUAGGGGGCUAGCGUUGUCCGGAAUCAUUGGGCGUAAAGCGCGCGCAGGUGGUUUCUUAAGUCUGAUGUGAAAGCCCACGGCUCAACCGUGGAGGGUCAUUGGAAACUGGGAGACUUGAGUGCAGAAGAGGAAAGUGGAAUUCCAUGUGUAGCGGUGAAAUGCGUAGAGAUAUGGAGGAACACCAGUGGCGAAGGCGACUUUCUGGUCUGUAACUGACACUGAGGCGCGAAAGCGUGGGGAGCAAACAGG
rnacentral:rRNA from 1 species